GGGUUGUGAGGUUAAGCGACUAAGCGUACACGGUGGAUGCCCUGGCAGUCAGAGGCGAUGAAGGGCGUGCUAAUCUGCGAUAAGCGCCGGUAAGGUGAUAUGAACCGUUAUAACCGGCGAUACCCGAAUGGGGAAACCCAGUGUGACUCGUCACACUAUCAUUAACUGAAUCCAUAGGUUAAUGAGGCGAACCGGGGGAACUGAAACAUCUAAGUACCCCGAGGAAAAGAAAUCAACCGAGAUUCCCCCAGUAGCGGCGAGCGAACGGGGAGGAGCCCAGAGCCUGAAUCAGCAUGUGUGUUAGUGGAAGCGUCUGGAAAGGCGCGCGAUACAGGGUGACAGCCCCGUACACAAAAGCGCAUGUGCUGUGAGCUCGAUGAGUAGGGCGGGACACGUGGUAUCCUGUCUGAAUAUGGGGGGACCAUCCUCCAAGGCUAAAUACUCCUGACUGACCGAUAGUGAACCAGUACCGUGAGGGAAAGGCGAAAAGAACCCCGGCGAGGGGAGUGAAAAAGAACCUGAAACCGUGUACGUACAAGCAGUGGGAGCACAGGUUUACCUGUGUGACUGCGUACCUUUUGUAUAAUGGGUCAGCGACUUAUAUUCUGUAGCAAGGUUAACCGUAUAGGGGAGCCGUAGGGAAACCGAGUCUUAACCGGGCGUUAAGUUGCAGGGUAUAGACCCGAAACCCGGUGAUCUAGCCAUGGGCAGGUUGAAGGUUGGGUAACACUAACUGGAGGACCGAACCGACUAAUGUUGAAAAAUUAGCGGAUGACCUGUGGCUGGGGGUGAAAGGCCAAUCAAACCGGGAGAUAGCUGGUUCUCCCCGAAAGCUAUUUAGGUAGCGCCUCGUGAAUUCAUCUCCGGGGGUAGAGCACUGUUUCGGCUAGGGGGCCAUCCCGGCUUACCAACCCGAUGCAAACUGCGAAUACCGGAGAAUGUUAUCACGGGAGACACACGGCGGGUGCUAACGUCCGUCGUGAAGAGGGAAACAACCCAGACCGCCAGCUAAGGUCCCAAAGUCAUGGUUAAGUGGGAAACGAUGUGGGAAGGCCCAGACAGCCAGGAUGUUGGCUUAGAAGCAGCCAUCAUUUAAAGAAAGCGUAAUAGCUCACUGGUCGAGUCGGCCUGCGCGGAAGAUGUAACGGGGCUAAACCAUGCACCGAAGCUGCGGCAGCGACGCUGAUGCGUUGUUGGGUAGGGGAGCGUUCUGUAAGCCUGUGAAGGUGGCCUGUGAGGGUUGCUGGAGGUAUCAGAAGUGCGAAUGCUGACAUAAGUAACGAUAAAGCGGGUGAAAAGCCCGCUCGCCGGAAGACCAAGGGUUCCUGUCCAACGUUAAUCGGGGCAGGGUGAGUCGACCCCUAAGGCGAGGCCGAAAGGCGUAGUCGAUGGGAAACGGGUUAAUAUUCCCGUACUUGGUGUUACUGCGAAGGGGGGACGGAGAAGGCUAUGUUGGCCGGGCGACGGUUGUCCCGGUUUAAGCGUGUAGGUGUGUGUUCCAGGUAAAUCCGGUUCACUUUAACACUGAGGCGUGAUGACGAGGCACUACGGUGCUGAAGCAACAAAUGCCCUGCUUCCAGGAAAAGCCUCUAAGCAUCAGGUAACAUCAAAUCGUACCCCAAACCGACACAGGUGGUCAGGUAGAGAAUACCAAGGCGCUUGAGAGAACUCGGGUGAAGGAACUAGGCAAAAUGGUGCCGUAACUUCGGGAGAAGGCACGCUGACACGUAGGUGAAGUGAUUUACUCAUGGAGCUGAAGUCAGUCGAAGAUACCAGCUGGCUGCAACUGUUUAUUAAAAACACAGCACUGUGCAAACACGAAAGUGGACGUAUACGGUGUGACGCCUGCCCGGUGCCGGAAGGUUAAUUGAUGGGGUCAGCGCAAGCGAAGCUCCUGAUCGAAGCCCCGGUAAACGGCGGCCGUAACUAUAACGGUCCUAAGGUAGCGAAAUUCCUUGUCGGGUAAGUUCCGACCUGCACGAAUGGCGUAAUGAUGGCCAGGCUGUCUCCACCCGAGACUCAGUGAAAUUGAACUCGCUGUGAAGAUGCAGUGUACCCGCGGCAAGACGGAAAGACCCCGUGAACCUUUACUAUAGCUUGACACUGAACAUUGAGCCUUGAUGUGUAGGAUAGGUGGGAGGCUUUGAAGCGUGGACGCCAGUCUGCAUGGAGCCGGCCUUGAAAU
rnacentral:rRNA from 1 species